UCAUGCUAAUCCAGCCCAGCAAUCCUAAAAUCCAUCUUCAAAUACUGUUACAUCUUCAUUUCUGGCCACAGUCAAUAUGCACAGAUUUAAAGGACAAGGAAAAACUCAUGGAAUUUUUUUAUACUGGAUGUCGGAAUGAACAACCACCUGGCAGAAAUUCUCAAGCGUUUCCCAGUAUCCAGAAAGUGACAUUCAGAUGUGUUGCCCGUCAGGACGUUGUUGGGACAGUACUCAGUAAACAUGCCAUGGCUGAUGAUGUAAGUGCAGAUAACUAUCGUCUGGCACAACUGGCUCAAGAGAACAAGUGCAGUUCUUUGGGCACUUUCGACUUCAUUUUGUGGCAUCGUGAAUGGACUGGAUUUGAAGUGGAGCAGUCACUGAUAGGGUUGUGAAGUCCAUCCCUGUGUCAGACAAGAUCUUCCUGCCAAGACUUGUAGGUGAUUAUUCUCCAGAGAGGGGGAACCACUUAAUUCUUUGGGUGCUGGACUUCAAAGUUAAACAGAUUAAGAUAUAUGAUUCGCUGAUGCUUUUCCCAAAGAUCAGUGACAGAGACAUGGACAUACUCAGAAAUGUCUUCAGAUUGUCUGGUGGUCUUCACGGAUGGACUGUCACAUGUCCUCCCCAGUGGAAGUCGCAGGACUCUGUUAAUUGUGGAGUUUUUGUGUGUGCUGUGAGUUAGCUUG